AGACCAUGAUGAGGGCAUUUCCUCAAUAGCUCCUUGAAUCUUUCCCAAGUUUCAGUUAAGGAUUCCCCGUCCCCUUAUGAGUAU
rnacentral:snoRNA from 1 species